rnacentral:rRNA from 1 species
UACGUAGGGUGCAAGCGUUAAUCGGAAUUACUGGGCGUAAAGCGUGCGCAGGCGGUUUUGUAAGUCUGAUGUGAAAUCCCCGGGCUCAAACUGGGAAUUGCAUUGGAGACUGCAAGGCUAGAAUCUGGCAGAGGGGGGUAGAAUUCCACGUGUAGCAGUGAAAUGCGUAGAGAUGUGGAGGAACACCGAUGGCGAAGGCAGCCCCCUGGGUCAAGAUUGACGCUCAUGCACGAAAGCGUGGGGAGCAAACAGG